rnacentral:rRNA from 1 species
GUUUGAUCCUGGCUCAGAACGAACGCUGGCGGCAUGCCUAACACAUGCAAGUCGAACGAGACCUUCGGGUCUAGUGGCGCACGGGUGCGUAACGCGUGGGAAUCUGCCCUUAGGUACGGAAUAACUCGGGGAAACUCGUGCUAAUACCGUAUGAUGACGUAAGUCCAAAGAUUUAUCGCCUAAGGAUGAGCCCGCGUAGGAUUAGCUAGUUGGUGAGGUAAAGGCUCACCAAGGCGACGAUCAGUA